GAAAAUGACUACGAGAUGCUACCACCGACAGAAUAUGAGUCAGGAGAAACUCGAUUCAACCGAUCGGAUAGGAGUCAAACCAUGCCUAGAAUGGAUCGAUACAGAGAUCGUUUACUUCCCCCUAUACCAACUUCUGGGAAAGAUCUGACAAAUAUACAUCCUGUGAAUGAUGUUUUGCCCCGUUCAUCAUCAAGUAGUGGGAGUGAAACCGAAAAUCUAAAGAGGAGGAUGACCAAGAGUAGAAAAAAACGACCAAAAAAAUGAGCUGAGAAUAAGUCCAUAUGCAUAUAUAUAUAUAUAAUUGUACGUCUUUGAUUAAUGAUAAUGUUGCAUGAUCUGCAUUUGCUUUUUAAAACUAAUUUUUAAUUGAGUCGUUUUUCAUUGUUUCAUGUCAUUGUUACAAGUUAGUUCAAUUUUUCAAUAUCAAAUUUCAAAAACGCCGCUUCAUUUUGUCGAUCCGAACCCAUAUAGCAUAUAAAUAAAAGAUUCAAUCCAAUUAAAAAUUGAAACAGGGUAUAUUAAUCCUCACUCUUUAUUUCAUAAUUCUUCAUAAAAGCCCUACUCCAUUGUAAUCACUAUGCUCCUAAUUGCUUAAUAUACCUCUUACUAUGCUGUUUAUGGUGUCACUUCUACAUUAUCAUUGCAAACUCUGUAAUCAUUUAAUAAUUAACUUUUCUACCGUAUACUAUGCAAGCUUUAUUUGCUGUCGCGGAGAACUUUCACCUUUCUUUGUUUCACUUUGUUGGCAUAUUUACAUUUUCUGUUCAGUUAAAAUGAAACUCUUAAUUAUUGCAAGAUUAUUGUGUUUCUCAUCAAGAGACAGAAAGGCCCUAUUAUGGGCUUUAGUGAACGUGUGAUAUUAUUGUAAAUUCUAUAUACCUGAUAAAAAAAUUUUGCGUAAUAUCAUUACGUUGGUCAUAUUUCAAUAUCACGAUAAUCUGAUGAAUUGAAACCAACUUUUUCAGAUUUGAUUUUUAUGUUUAAAACACCAAGAAUGUACGUAUGUAGUAAUAGUAAUUGGAAAUCUCAAUGCGGGUUAAAACUCCAAAAUAAAACGGAACUGUUAUUGAAAAGUACGGCAUUGGACGUCUACUUUUUGACUGUUUUUGAUUAUUCGUAGGAUUUUGAGUUUGUCGCAAUUAUUUAUUGUCUGGUCGUAAUUGAGGUUGAAUAUGUUUGCACUAUGAUUUGCAUAUGUUCGUGAGCAAUAUCAGGUUGGGUAAAACGAGUCCGUUGAAAGACAAAUUUUGCUAGGCACGGUUCUUAGUUUGUACCUUGUUUAUAAGGUAAAAAUUAAUAAUAGUUCCUCUUUAUUCAUGUGAAUGUAUAAAAUACCUAUUGCUCACAGAACAUCAUCUAUGCUGCAGUUAAUGCUAUGCAAUGAAUUGUGCAAACAUAUAUAUAUGAUGCUUUAAUGCAAAUGUAUUAUGAUCUUCUAUUUUAAAUUUUCGACUACUAAAAAUAUUUGUGCCAUAUUAUUAGUUAUAUUUUAAAUGUAUCAAAUAUACUCUGUUACUUGA